GGAUUUCGUCAUUAUAAAACAUCGUGUGACGACGACGAGUAGAGAAUGUACACACAAAGAUCACUAAAUGAAUUUAGAUGUACCGCACAUUACGGUGUUUCUAAUAAUGUUUGCCAUUUCAAGAGUGGUUCCAUCUGCUAUAGCAGUGGCGGCGGCCGCAGCAACAUCUUACGGCAUAAAAUCAAGAACUAAAACGGAAGCAGAUGUGGAGAUCAUAACGAAACCUUUUAGUUUUCGUGGACAUGUGUCGGUUACAAGCCAACAAGGUGACUCGUCGCUUAAGUUUGCCUGUGACAAGUAAAAAUGUGGCCGAACAUUGCUAACUGAAACUAAUUAUUCUGCAACAGCGAUGGACCAUUUCAACAUGCAGUUCAAUUGAUUUUUAAGAAAGCGGCGGGGACCGUUCCCUAUAUUAAUUCAAAUAGUUUUUAGUUGUUGUCUAAGCUUAAUUUUGUGCAAAUUUUGA